GACGAACGCUGGCGGCGUGCCUAAUACAUGCAAGUUGAGCGCUGAAGGUUGGAACUUGUACCGACUGGAUGAGCAGCGAACGGGUGAGUAACGCGUGGGGAAUCUGCCUUUGAGCGGGGGACAACAUUUGGAAACGAAUGCUAAUACCGCAUAAAAACUUUAAACACAAGUUUUAAGUUUGAAAGAUGCAAUUGCAUCACUCAAAGAUGAUCCCGCGUUGUAUUAGCUAGUUGGUGAGGUAAAGGCUCACCAAGGCGAUGAUACAUAGCCGACCUGAGAGGGUGAUCGGCCACAUUGGGACUGAGACACGGCCCAAACUCCUACGGGAGGCAGCAGUAGGGAAUCUUCGGCAAUGGACGAAAGGCUGAACGAGCAACGCCGCGUGAGUGAAGAAGGGUUUCGGAUCGUAAAACUCGGUUGGUAGAGAAGAACGUUGGUGAGAGUGGAAAGCUCAUCAAGUGACGGUAACUACCCAGAAAGGGACGGCUAACUACGUG
rnacentral:rRNA from 1 species